GAUGAACGCUAGCUACAGGCUUAACACAUGCAAGUCGAGGGGAAACGGCAUUGAGUGCUUGCACUCUUUGGACGUCGACCGGCGCACGGGUGAGUAACGCGUAUCCAACCUACCCAUUACUGUGGGAUAACCUGCCGAAAGGCAGACUAAUACCGCAUAGUCUUCGAUGACGGCAUCAGAUUUGAAGUAAAGAUUUAUCGGUAAUGGAUGGGGAUGCGUCUGAUUAGCUUGUUGGCGGGGUAACGGCCCACCAAGGCAACGAUCAGUAGGGGUUCUGAGAGGAAGGCCCCCCACAUUGGAACUGAGACACGGUCCAAACUCCUACGGGAGGCAGCAGUGAGGAAUAUUGGUCGAUGGGCGCGAGCCUGAACCAGCCAAGUAGCGUGCAGGAUGACGGCCCUAUGGGUUGUAAACUGCUUUUGUAUGGGGAUAAAGUUAGGGACGUGUCCCUAUUUGCAGGUACCAUACGAAUAAGGACCGGCUAAUUCCGUGCCAGCAGCCGCGGUAAUACGGAAGGUCCAGGCGUUAUCCGGAUUUAUUGGGUUUAAAGGGAGCGUAGGCUGGAGAUUAAGUGUGUUGUGAAAUGUAGACGCUCAACGUCUGACUUGCAGCGCAUACUGGUUUCCUUGAGUACGCACAACGUUGGCGGAAUUCGUCGUGUAGCGGUGAAAUGCUUAGAUAUGACGAAGAACUCCGAUUGCGAAGGCAGCUGACGGGAGCGCAACUGACGCUUAAGCUCGAAGGUGCGGGUAUCAAACAGG
rnacentral:rRNA from 1 species